rnacentral:rRNA from 1 species
ACGAGAUCUAGUACGGUCUCGUGGGCUCGGAGAUGUGUAUAAGAGACAGGACUUAGCAGAAUGGUAUGGGAAAGCCAACCAGAGAAUGUGAUAGUCAUGUAUGCGAAAAGGAAUCAGAGCUAGCAGGAUCCAAAGUACCGCGGGACACGAGGAAUCCCGUGGGAAGUCGGGGGGACCACCCUCCAAGCCUAAAUACUACCCAAUGACCGAUAGCGAAAAGUACUGUGAAGGAACGGUGAAAAGAACCCCGGGAGGGGAGUGAAAAGAACCUGAAACUCUAUGCUUACAAGCACAUAGAGCACGUCAAAGUGUGAUAUGGUACCUUUUGUAGAAUGGUCCGGCGAGUUAUUGUAUGCAGCAAGGUUAAGGUCUUCAGGACUGAAGCCGAAGCGAGAGCGAGUCUGACAAGGGCGAAAAGUUGCAUGCAAUAGACCCGAAACCGGGUGACCUAGCCAUGUUCAGGUUGAAGUGGAGGUAAAGCUCCAUGGAGGACCGAACCGACCUCCGUUGAAAAGGCGGCGGAUGAAAUGUGGCUAGCGGAGAAAUUCCAAUCGAACCCGGAAAUAGCUGGUUCUCCCCGAAAUAGCUUUAGGGCUAGCGUUGUAUUAGAUUUCUGGGGGUAAAGCACUGAAUAGGCUAGGGGCCGAGAGGUUACUGAACCUUAUCAAACUAAGAAUACCAGAAAAUUGAUGUACAGCAGUCAGACUAUGUGAGAUAAGUCUCAUAGUCAAAAGGGAAACAGCCCAGACCCACAGCUAAGGUCCCAAAACAGAUUUAAGUGGAAAAGGAUGUGGGAUUGCCCAGACAACCAGGAUGUUGGCUUAGAAGCAGCCACACAUUAAAAGAGUGCGUAAUAGCUCACUGGUCGAGUGAUCCUGCGCCGAAAAUUCAACGGGGCUAAAAUUUGUACCGAAGCUUGGGCUUGAUACUUUGUAUCAGGGGUAGGGGAGCGUCAUGUAUGAGGAGAAGUCGUAGCGGAAGCGGCGGUGGAUUGUACAUGAGAGAGAAUGCCGGAAUGAGUAGCGAGAAUUAUGUGAGAAUCAUAAUGGCCGAAAAUCUAAGGUUUCCUGAGGAAGGUUCGUCCGCUCAGGGUAAGCCGGGAGCUAAGGUGAGGCGGAAACGCGUAGCCGAUGCACAUACGGUAGAGAUUCCGUAGCCUCCGAAAAGUAAAGCACAGGGACGCUUCAGAAGUGUUACGCCGGGCGAUGGUUGCCCCGGUUGUAAAGGACACAAUUGAGUGGAAGGUAACAUGGAUGGAGACAAGAAAAGCUGUGUGUAUCUGGAAGGAGCCCGUACCGCAAACCGACACAGGUAGAUAGGAAGAAGAUUCUAAGGCCAGCGGGAGAAGGGUUGUUAAGGAACUCGGCAAGUUGACCCCGUAACUUCGGGAGAAGGGGUGCUUACGAAGGUAAGCCGCAGAGAAUAGGCCCAAGCGACUGUUUAGCAAAAACACAGCUCUAUGCUAAAUCGAAAGAUGACGUAUAUGGGGUGACACCUGCCCGGUGCUGGAAGGUUAAGAGGAGAUGUGAGAGCAUUGAAUUGAAGCCCCAGUAAACGGCGGCCGUAACUAUAACGGUCCUAAGGUAGCGAAAUUCCUUGUCAGGUAAG